AUUGAACGCUGGCGGCAGGCCUAACACAUGCAAGUCGAACGCGUGGCGGACGGGUGAGUAGUGUCUGGGCCACUGCCCGAUGGAGGGGGAUAACUUCUGUAAACGGUAGCUAAUACCGCAUACCAUCGGAUGUGCCCAGAUGGGAUUAGCUAGUAGGUGGGGUAACGGCUCACCUAGGCGACGAUCCCUAGCUGGUCUGAGAGGAUGACCAGCCACCUUGGAACUGAGACGCGGUCCAGACGCCUACGGGAGGCAGCAGUGGGGAAUAUUGCACAGUGGGCGCAAGCCUGAUGCAGCCAUGCGGCGUGUAUGAAGAAGGCCUUCGGGUGGUAAAGUACGUUCAGCGAGGAGGCGUUACUCGCAGAAGAAGCACCGGCUAACUCCGUGCCAGCCGCCGCGGUAAUAC
rnacentral:rRNA from 1 species